AUGGAUCAGGAGCUGACCGAGCACCUGGAGGCCAAAGUGACUGCUGACAGCGCGAGAUCUCACCCUCUCAUCGAUUUGUUCAUACCAACAAUCGACAGCGAGCACGGCAUAUGCUACACCCAUCCUGAGAAACUUCCAGCGUUCAAAAGGGGCACGUGGAUGCGUUGCAAGAUACAGUCGGAGUGCGGCAUGCACGUGAUGUGGCACAAGACCGGCAAUACCUUGCUGGUGGUGGUCAACGGCCGGCAGACGGGCAGGAAAAAGGUUCUGGUGCUGCACACCAACAAGCACUUCGACCAGCAGAGGACCAACUGGGUGAUGCACCAGUACCACCUCGGGGACCAGGAGCAAGAGAAGGAGCGGGAGCUGGUCCUCUGCAAGAUUUUCUACCAGACGAACACUAGGGCCACGAGUAUAUUGUUUUUUCAGGUCGAGCAAGUUUCAACUGGGCUGUAG
rnacentral:rRNA from 1 species